rnacentral:tRNA from 1 species
GCCCCCGUACCCCAACUGGCAGAGGGCGGCCGCUUAAACCGGCUUCAGUGUGGGUUCGACUCCCACCGGGGGCA